rnacentral:lncRNA from 1 species
GGUGUGCUCUUCCCUGCAGAGCGUAUGGGCAAGAGCUGCCUGUAUUUUGUUUUGUCAUCAAGGAUUAUGUAUUGUCAAUAUGAACAAGAUAAGCAGUUAACUGUACUGUUUAAUUAUUUGUGUACAUUUGCAAGCUUUCUGGGUCAUCAUCACCUUCUUGAUUUCUGUGAUUCGUCUCUGUCAUUUGCUUCAUCUGUAAUACUCCAGAACAUUGUCCUGCUUUGUUAAUUUAUGGCUCCCUAAAUGCUCAACUAACAACACUUUGACACAAAUCACGGAGGCCAGCGUACUGAAGAAGAGUCAUUCCUUUGCUCUUUGACUUCUGAAGAUAUAGAGCAAAGAGUAAUUUCGUACCGCUGCUGAACCCUGUGAAGUUGCUGCCUUGAUUCUGGCAUGCGACCUACCGGCUUCAGUUUCAACAACGGAACCUCUGUUGUUUGCCCCGGCCCCCGGUCACUUUUUGUUGAGACUUACUCCAGUAGUAGAAUUAGAGAAGUUUAGGUGGAGAUACUUAUCAUCAGCUCACUGCCACUACAACGAAGUCAAACUUCGAAAGGAACGGCAGCAAUCUAACACAGCCAACUACGUAGGUCAUGGUCAUGUGUAGUUAAAUUAUAGAACAUGCUCCGGAUUACAAGAACCGUGCCCUCAGCUAACAUUUGCAUUUCUGUAUCCUAUUCUGCUAUUCAAGAGGAAAGCAACCUUGUUCUUGAUUGUGAUGUGGAAACUCAACCGUUCUUGUAUAACACCAGACACCAUUUGCACCAUGUUCAGAAAUCAGAAGUGCCUGACUUUGUCAGCUUAAGAUUUGGAGCAGGAAGUUCAGUCAAAGGUCCUGUUUGGAUUGACUUCUUGCGCGGGGGGGGGCUAAUGGAUGGACACUCGCCGCUCUGAUUUGCAAGGGUUCUCACGGUGAUUUUGCAGGAUUUUCACACCAAACGCUUCGAAUCCCGUAGGAUAAUUAUGUCCACGUGCAGUAUAUGACACUCCAACAAAAACGACCGAACCUGAAUUUGGGAUCCGACAAUGCCUGGAAAUCCUGUGAAUUACCGCGCUUUCUGAACAGAGGAUACGAAUCCAUGGAUGAUGGAUCCCCUGAACUUGGACAAGAGAGGGAGACCCACAGUGUGGGCGGGCCUCUGCUCGUAUUGAAUGCUGUUACCUUGUAGUGGGGCGCGACUUCGUCUCCUGGGCCAUGAUCUGGAUUAGCCCAUGUGCACACAAGGUGGGCAUCAUUCGCGGUGAAUCAAACGAGCUCACAUGUGUUGUACGCAAUGUGGCCUGUUCUUGUGUUUGCUCACGUCACAUGGUGUGUCCCGAAUUAACCUGACGAGACACGCAAGUAUUCCAUAACGCCUUAACAAUACUGCAAUAUCAUGUUUGCAAGAAUCUAUAAAGAUGGCAAAUUGGGUCACCGCCGAGGCCAAUCACUUGAGGAUUAUCGUGUCGAGAGAGUAGAUGGCUGUACCGACUUGGGGCUCUGGCAUGGAUCCAUCAGUGUAAGACAGUUCCAACCAUUCGAAAUGAUGCUCACUGUGUCAUCACGAUUGGCGGUAAAUAUAUUACACACAGACGGCAGAAAAGCAAAGCGAGCCGGAGGUACCUUGUCUGGUCAUAAGAUUGUUGCAGAGAACUUAUAUGUACAAAAAACUGCAUGGUCAUGGAAGAAAACACGACGAUCACUGUACAUGGCACACCAGGUAAAGAACUAAUUAGUGCAGCUAAGGAUACCUUUCUUUUAUUUCUGAUGAGCGGAGCAGUACGCAGUAUCUCCUGACCCUAUAUAAGACUAUCAUGAUGUUCUCCACUGCUCCCUCCAGCAAAUGUCUCUGAAGUUUCUGGCAGAUCAUCUACACUGGACAAAGGCUUGUCCACAGCAGAAGCAUCUAUGUUUGAAGGCUCUGGCAGGUCAGGCACAUCACUGUAAGGCUCGUUUACUGAAGGUGCAUACGUCUCUGAAGGAUCUGUCCGAUCAACCACAUCAACCAACGGCUCAUUGGCGGCAGAAGCAUACACCUCUGAUGGUAAGGGCGCAUCGACCACAUCAACCAAAGGCCCAUCCAUGGCAAAGGCUUCUUCAUCUGAAGAUGAGAAUGUACUGAACAAAUUAUCUGAACCAAAAGGGGCAGCUUCAUUGUCAAUGUCCUCCAGAUCAGAAAUUUGAGCUUCAGAAUCAGAUGAUUCUCCAAGCAAGACUUCGAGAGACGGGCUGCUAUUAUUUGUUCUCUCUGCUACGAAAGGCAUGCCCAAGAUGUCAUUCUCGCACUCAUGUAGCAAGUCAUAAACCCUUUGCAGCUGUGGCCCUGCAGUAGGGGUCACGUUAUAACUAGCUCCAUUACCUGCAAAAAGAUCUUCGAAAUGAUUUCCAGUCGCAGUGUUCCUUGAACUGAUGGCUUCAGUGGCAAAAACUACACCAAGCGACUCUAUACUGCUCAAAUCUAACCAGGAGUGUUCCACCUCUGGUUUCAUGAGGGUUUCAACAGGGCCGGAGUCCAAGCUGCUAUUAUCGAUCCAUGUUUUCUUGGAAUCAGGAAACUCAAAGAAUACAGAGUCCAUCCCACCAGAAAGCCUAAUGUUGUUCUCUGUAAUCUCCAGAUCUCCAUCCUUAUCUGACAAGGUUUCCAUUGCAUUGACACCAUCCCUGGUAGCACCAUUUGCAGGAGAUGCACAGUUUGAUGAUUCAAAAGUUGUGUUAAUGGAUAGGUCACCAGAAAUAUUUCCGUCUCCCUCAUCAAUCUCCAAAGCUUUCUUCACUAGCAAAAGUUGGAACAUUGGGUUCUUCUGGCCCACCUUGCGGUCAGCAUCUUCCAAGUUCUUAUGAGCUCCUGGGGAUGUUCUCUUGAAGGAGGAUAUUGCAGCACCAUCGUUACCAAGGCACACCUCAGAAGGACCAUUCCUGAAAGAGCUAGCAUUUCUUGCUGCAAGAAACUCUGCCAAGGAUACAACAGGUCUGCUUUCAUUCACUUGAGCUGUCUUAUCAACAGAUUCCCAAAUAGUUGAAGAUUUUUCUUUCAUCUGAGUUCCAUCAGCAACUGACCCCAGAAGUGUAGGAGGAGGCUGAGAAGGAUCAUCCACAGGUUCAUUGCUCAUGACAAAUGUCAUUGUGUCCAAAGUAGGAUCAUAAUUCUUUCCGUUUACCUGCGUACGGUCAUCAACAGAUCCAGUAUGAGGCCAUGAAGGAACACUCCAUGGUUCAGUGCUAGCAAAUGCCGUCUUGUCAGGAUAGAGAUCAAUAUUCAGUUCAUUUACCUCAACAUUCCCGACCAAGCGUGCCUUAGAGACAGAAGUGGGUGGAACCACAUCAACUUCCUUACUUACAUCACCAAAUUCACCAUGAAAUUGGCCAACUGAUCCAUCUUUAGUGGAUAUCUCAUCAGCUUGUCCAUUAGAAAGGGAGGAACUUGAGGAAUCAAUUGUAUUUUCAGCACUUAAAUUACUGGCGGUGCAAGCAACAGACUUCGAGGGUGACGUAGCUUUGGUGGAAUUGAGAAAUGCCUCCAAGGCGAAUGCUAAUGCACCAUCAAUAGUAACAGGAGCUUUGCCUUUGGGGUCGUUGACAGUGCUUUUGCUCAGAGUAUCAUCAGAGUUUGUAUGACGAUCAUCAAGAUCACCAGCUGUUUCUUUGACAUCCUCCACUUCAUCGUCUUCAUCAUUUGGGAACUCUGGAACCUUAACAGCUAGACCUGGUGUACUCUUACGUUCUUUCUCAGAAGAUGAAGCAGAAUCAGCUGGUGGAAAAGGCCCGUGAUGAAGCUUCUCACAAGUUACCUCAGGUUCACAUAUGAAAUCAGAAGCCCUAACAUUAGGUCCACGUAUUGUAUUCUCAUCGGCCAAAUCACAACCACAGGAAUCUUCUAAAGAAAAUUCUGGCGCCCUGAUAACCAAGCCUGGCUGCCUGUUCAUUAUAGAAGCAGAAGUUCCAGUAUUGCCACUAUAAUGUUCCUUUUCCUGUGAGUUAGUGAUAUCAGAGUAAACAUUUGGGACUGACAUUCUUGCAGACAAAGACUGAAUCUCUACAGAAAAUGAAUCAAACUGUUGCUCCAGCCGCUUAAGCCUUGCCUCAAUGCUACCGAGGGGCCUCAUCAUACUGUCCUCAAACCUAGAGCAAUAUAACUCCACUUUAUCCACCUUGGAGAGGAGAAUUUCCAGCGUCUUCUCAAUAGGAUUGUGCGGAGUAAAAUUUCCAUUCAUGACAGGACCAGUGUCCUGAUCCAUAUUUGAUACUCUCUGGCCCUUUGCCGAUGCCACUUGUAUAUUUUCUGUUGUUCGCUCAGGCAAAGGGAGAGGUCUGGGAACAUUUAAUGGGAACUCACCUUGGUUGCUUUUUUCAUUAGAGAUCGUAUCACCCCCCAUAGGUGGUAUUCUGUUUUCCAACCCAGCUGACAUAAAACUUGAAUCAUUUGUGCCACACAUUGCUGCUUCUAAAUCAAUCUUUCCACAUGGGCUGCUCUCUUUCAAUGCACAACCUUCAGGAAGUUGUGUCCUCAGGCCAUCAGGAAAAUAACUGUCAUCUAUUUUGCACUUUGUAGAUUUGGACAUUUGCAUAAGACCAGGAACAAGCAUAGCCAACAAAGAACUACCUCCCAUGUUUCCAGGACCAGCUACUGACUCAUCACUGGUGGACCCAACAUUAUCAGCAAAUAUGUAGAUCUCUUCAAGGUGCACUGAUGUCUUUGACUCUAGUGAAAGAAGACGGACAGUAAGAGAAACACAUGGGCUUGCGUCAGUUAUCUCAGCAGUUGCUUCAUAGUGUGCCUGGAUUAUGCAAAAUAAAACAACAAUGUCGUAAUUUGUAAGAAUCUAGGAGAAGUAUUUUUACAGUGAGUAUCAAACAAUAUUUAUUGACAAGACCAAAAACGAGAGGAAAUACCAGAGUAUUUUUCUGGUGGGUUCCAAUCGCAUUCCUUUCUUGAGAUUCAGGUGUGUUGCUUUCCAGAGGAGACUCUGGAACUUUGACUUCAACCCAGCUAUCUUCAUCACUACUACUGGUUACACUUUUGGUCUCUUGUUCAUGCUUUUCAACAGAUACAGUAUUGCUACUCCCCUGAGACAUACACUCUUCACCAGAGGGCAGCGGUUCAUUAGCAGCAAGUCCACAGCGCACAGUGCAUAGAUAAUCCUUGCUGGUAUCCUUCAGGUUGGUUGAAUAGUAUAUUUCAUAAAUCCGGGCUGUGCUUUUCACAUACACUCUAUGAAUCUCAUACUUUCCUGUGAAAUUAACUGAAAGAAGAAGUGAAUUAGUUACAUCGAUACAGAAAUGGAAAAUGAAUUGAAAUUCAGCGGGGAAAUGUUCUACACUAUUUAUAGAACAAAAUGGAGACAAACUAGAAAUUUGGCCAUGAAAGCCACGCUAUGAUGGACUACAUAGAAUGAUAUAGAGCCUGACUUCAGAUUUGCAAUGCAGAUACAAGGCGGAUUGAAUAAAAGAUGACAAAAUAAAAGCAUACUAGUUGCAGUUCCAAAAUUAAUUAGCCUCUGGUGCUCGCUGAAGCUUUCGCAAGUCGACAUGGACGGGCACCAACGGCGCGAAGGAUCGCAUUGCAGUAGCCUCUGGUGCUGGCUUCCUUUGGCACCGGGUUGGCCUGUGUGUUUUGUUUUAGCUGGGCCCUGGAUGCGAUGUAUGGCUUGUAUUUCGCUACUGUUUUGGGCUACAUUUUCCUGUUUCUUUGUUGUUCUUUUUGCUUACAUUUUGGACUACUCUUUUGUAUGCUGGCGGUUUCUAUAAUGGAAAUCGGUGGAGAGAGCCCACUGUUUCUAUUUUUUUAUUAAUUAGCCGACAAAAUUCUGCCCUGUCACUAUACAAGAAAGGAAAUACUUUAUGGGAAUUAAAGCGUGAUCAAGGGUGGGCAAUUUGUAGUGGAACAUAUUUACUUCAAUGUCGAGCUUCUGGAAAAAAGUGGAAGCUAAAGCUGUCAAAAUCGAGCCAGGUCUUUUCCGAAGUACUCCCUCCGUCCCAUAUUAAGUGACUCAAAUUUGCUCGAAUAUGGGUGCAUCUAUAUCCCAAAAGUGUCUAGAUACAUGUAAUAUUUCGUCACUUAAUAUGGGACGGAGGGAGUAGUACCAAAACUACUAAUUGCUGUUGGAGUGAUCAUGGGGAGAAUACGAAGCUCUGAAAUUUUAUACAUUUUAGUAUACAGCCUAUAUCACAUAUAGUGAUCGGAUAUCCACUUCAAAUAUGAGCCUUUGGACAGGAAAAUGGCCCCUGAAGUGUCUGCAGCGACAAGGGUUUCACUGAUAUACGAAUAGGCCAAUUCGAAUGGACUCUGCAAGUCUCCAACAGCAAUAGCCAGUUUGGUGUGCUUAGCUCGUAUACUAGCCCACUAGGGUUUAUCCAACCAUACGCUGACUAUUGCAAAAGAUUAAAUUUCAACAGUGCUUGCAUCUGCGUCCGAUCAGCGACAUGGAACAACGGCACGGCGCAAUUCGCAAUCAAACCUCCCGAAAUCUUUCACUAGGCUACAACUUUCCAAGGCAAAAACGAGGACCCACCAGUAACUUCGCAUGGAGGGGGAUCCUCUCCGCCGUCGGAGGGCGGGCGGGCGAGGACGACGGCCGUGGGGGAGGACUCGGCGUCGUCGGUGGACGUCUCGAAAGACACGGCGUCCUCGACCGUCGCGGCUCCGGCCGGAGCCCAGGUGCUGGUCGCCGUCCAGGGCCGCCCGGGCUCGCCUCCCGAUCCCGAUGCCGCCAUCGCUCCCCGACUGCCUCCAGCCGCGUAGUGGGUGGGGAAAUCGGCGGUGGCGUACUGGUGGGGUUCGCCGUUGGUCGCUUAGCUUCGCUUCAGGAUUCCGUCAGGCGCUCGCUCACUUCACGACGAAUCUGGUGCGGGAUCUCAUCCUACAUUCCGACAGGCUACAGGCCCUCGAAACAAAAUGGAUUUUGGGAUUUGGGUUUGCCGUUGUCUUGGGCCUAAGUCCAAUAGACCAAUAAUAAGGCCAACUAAACGCAUGGGCCCAUUGCCGCAUUCAUAAAAAACAUGGGCUUCUAGGCCCAUUAAAAAUCGUUAUCGAGUUAUCCACACCGCGAAUGUUUUACCACCGCAGCCGCAGACGAUGCGUCCCGGGCGCGGCCGUCAAGAAUGCAGCUCCGCUUCGUCCCGCUCGCCGCGAGCGCCAUGGCCGGAAGGAGCUUCCUCGCCGAUCUUCCUCGGCCCGUGAGGGGGAGAAGGAAUCAUCUAUGCUACAACGGGAACAAUUCGUCGUCGUCGGAGAAGGACGGCGAGCGUGGUCCGACAGAAGAGGCGCUGCGGCGGCUGGCAGAGCUCGACGCUCAGCUGGAAGGGCUGAAGGAGCCCAAGAUGAGGCCUCCGCCGCCCCCUCCUCCCCCAGGUAAUCAACUAAUCAUUGACUACCGGUCUCGUCGGGCCAACUUGGCUUCUCCGGUCUUCCAUGCGUCCAUACUAUCUUGCCCUCUCAAUUCAAAAAAUCAAUGAUUCAAGAUCUUCAUCACAGCCAAUAAUUGAUUGAGAUCAAGUUUUUGCAGCACACGUGAACCUGUAUGUUCGCGUGUCCUCUGAAAAGAAAAGAAGAUUUUCACGGUGAGUGUGUUACAGCAAGUCAGCAAGGAUGUAUGUUUAGGUCCUACUGAAAAUUGUGUUUAAAGCUGCAUAAACUAUGCAGGAUAGAUGGAUCAGUCCCUUGCACUGAAACUACCUAAUGAAACCCUAUGAAUUCAUAUGCAAAACUUGUGGUCCUCAGCGUAAAUUCUAUGCCUGAAUGCUUCGGUACAGGGUACAAAUGGCCAUUUCUCAAGUACUCGUACCUUAGAAGCUUAGAUCAGUAGUACAAAUCAAGUGCAAAAUGCAGACCAGGCUUGCCAUUUCCUCAUGUAGACUUUUAAGAGCAGUACUUACAUUACAACGUACGGAGUACUUCGUAGAACUCCUAAUGACUGCAAAUGUACUGACCCUCAAAUUGCUUCGUCCUUAUCGACACAGAAGUACUUUCCGAAAUAGUUGAAGCCUUGUCACUUCAUUUCAACAUCACCUUGGCAUGUUAUCUUACCGUGUUUUGCUUGGCAUGCACAGACCCUUUCAUGGACCGGGACAUGAUAAUAACGCGGGGACGACCAAGCGAGGAGCUCCCAGAAAUGACCCCGGCGUACGUAGCCUUCUCAACUCUAGCGCUUUUCAUCUUCACCAUCUUCACCAACGUGAUGUUCAACCUGUACGUCAAACCUUCCGUGGACGGCGUCGAUCAGCCCGUGAGAACUCAGAGAACGGCCCUGCUUAAUCCAGCAGACCAGCUGCCCCAGAGUAGCUCGUCCGAGACGUGAAUGACAAUGAACCGCAGCUUGUUAAAGCAAGAGGGCAUGUGACUUUUUAGCUAAUAAAAGUAAAUGGAUGGUUUGCGCCUCAUAUUUGAUUUUCUGUAUGUAGAUCAAUCCCCACAUGUUCCGAAUGAACUAUAUUUUGCUGGCAUCGAUCGAGGGUUCGUUUUGAUAAUGCAGAGGUUCUGCUGCACAUGCCUGUGUCUGUGUGGGGCUCUACCUCUCGAUGUAUAUUCAGUUUCUUGAUGGCCAAUGAUGACCGAUCAUAGAACGUGGAAGUAAAAGAAAACCGAAUCGACAUCCUGAAUCAAACAUAUCAAACCCAACUGAUUGUAUCAGCAGUAGUCACGGACGGACGCAUAACUUGGAGAACGCCGACAUGACGAAUGAGCUGUGAACUAUGUUCGUGUGGCACGCGGGAGAAGCAGAGCUAGCAGCGGGGUACGUACUCCCGUCCCGUGGUAGCGGUCCCGGGCUCUGCGAUCUUGUACUGAUGAUUUUCUUUCUUUCAGUUGUACAUGUCCUUUGGCUCUUCUGUUUUCCCUAUUCUUUUCUAUCUUAUUAUGUCUCUGCCUUAUAUUGUUCCGAUUCAUACACUGGCCUUUCGGAUUUGUCGGCAGUUUUUGAGUUCCCGUGGAGAUCGUGGACCUUAAUUUCUUGUUGGCUUUCGCUUUCGUUUAAGCAAGAUUCUGAGUUGCUUUCCUAUCGUAGCAGCAGUACGCCUUGGUUUGUCUCCUGUUUCGUCACAGCGCUAGCUAUCGAUUUAUUUUUCGUCUCGCCCGCACAAAAAAAUAAUGUUUUGCUUAUUUCUUGCUCCCUUGAUCCUAAAUUGUUGAAUCAAAUUUGUCAAAAUAUAGAUGUAUCUAUUCUUAAAAAGCGUCUAGAUACAUGUAAUAUUUCGACAACAAUUUAGGAUCGGAGUGACUACGUUAUAUUUUCUUAAUCUAAAUUCCGUUUUAAUACAGUUCCAAAACACCUGAAGGCGAUGUGGCUCCGCAGCAGGCCGAGCUUUGACCCUAUUUUAAACCUCGCAUGUAUUUCCCGUCUUAAGUACGUAUGUAUGUCUUCGAUGCUGCACGCCUGCACAUGAUUAUUUAUUCAUUCGUUUUUCCCAUAUCUAACCCAAGCCCAAGCCUCGAACAAAUACCUGGACGUAUUAGUUUAGAGGAAUCUCGUAACAUGGAGAUCAUAUCAUAGUUUAUCUCUGCCACGAAAGGAGAACAUACUUCAACUCCGCCCCCGGAUCGAGUCAUCGUAUUCCAGCAGUCCAGCUGCCAACACCAGAACACCUCACGUGCCUUUACGUGAGACCCGAAGAGAGGUCUCGGUAAUACGAGCAGUAGCCCUCGCAUUGGCUUUACUUGACAGCUUUUUUCAGGGGAACUUUACUAGGAAACAGAUCCGAAGUGAAAUGAGGUCCAGCAUCAGGCGUGCCAAUCCUUUUCCGACGAAUAAAACUGCAUGGCACCGAUCCAUCGCCCGGCCCAUUUCGUGUCCGCAUCGGUCGAUGGUGCAUGUGCGCCCGUCCGUCCGUCCGUCCCCAGAUCUGGUGCGUCUCAUCCGGACAAAAGCCCUCGGACUGCACGCCCGGACGACGGACGGACACGUCGCCCGCCCGCGGCGCGACGCCACGGCCAGGCAAUGAGCUAGCACGGUGAGAUGUCGAGUUCUCGGCGAACAGAGGACUUCGCUUCACCCGGCCGCGGCGAUCCACGCUGUAGAUCUUCUCCAUGAUUUCGUGAAUCAGUACUGUACUAUUAGCUGGAAGAACCCGAUCGAUCGGGUAAUAAUUGCGGAGGACGGAUCAUCACGGAACGAAUCGAUCGGCCGGGGGCGGUUUGUGCUGUGGUUGGCCGGCAUGUGAUCGGUCAGCCGCGGUGGCCCGGCACAGGGCAGUGCGCUGUGGACACUGGCAAUUUACUUAUCCCUGCAUACCCUGAAGAGCACGCGUGUGUAUGCCGACUCUGGGCUGCUUUCUACAGGCACGUGAUGAUGUGCCAACCGGAUGCUAGUUGUCUCUCACCAGUCAGCUUAACGUCACCCCCCGUGUCUGCUCACACUCGAGUGCUACAAAUCUUUAUUACGGACAGUAAGAUACUGUUUCACCUCUGCUCGUUUUACACGCGAUGUAAUCAAUCGACCCUACCUUAGCCCCUUUGCUGCUAAAAGAAAGCGUCGUACGGUGCAAACGACGACGGCAUGAUUUCUCUCCACACGCGUACGUGGGGCAGUGGCGACGUGCACGCUCGCCGAACGCUCCGGCGAGAAUGAGCAGCGAAAGCGGGCAUCUCCGUGGCCAUGUGGUGCGAAGCGCAGCUAGCUGGACGCAAAAGCUCGCCCGGAAAGCCAAAAGAAUCCUUUUUCUCCUUUCGUUCUCGCCGCGAGCGACCUAGCAGUACUAGCGAGGUCAGGUCGAUACUCGAUCUCUCUUUCUUCCACAUGCGCUCUCGUGUGCGGCCUGAACCUUGUCGGAGGACACGUACUACGUACGUCCAUGCCGCAUUAUUUAGCGACUUCACAUGGGGGGACGAAGAUGGCGAAGGACCCGAGACGGUGCCCAGCUAAAGGGCGGCUACGUGUAGCUUGUACGUCUCCGACAAGGGGGUCAGCCCGUCAAUGUUGUGCGACCAGCUACGUGUCAAAGGAGAGGUGGCCGUGUGACGAACAUUUUAUUGUGUUCAGCGUGCACCGGCUUCAACCUCCCACAACUGACGUUUCCUUGGACGUAGUAAAAAAAGAGAAAGAAAUUGACGUGUCCUUUUCGAUUGUAUUCUUGGUAAGAUGUCCCGCGCAAACAUCUUUAUAUGUGGUAUCUGCCGAAAAAACCCCGUUCGGUGUAAAUUUCAUAAAAACCAUGUAUAGAAUUUUUAAAAAUUCUUAUAAAAAUGCCAUAUUGUGAAGGUGUGGUACUCUACAAAUGUGCAAAAAUUCAAGCAGAAAAUCAAAUGCGUUUGAAAAAUUAAAAAGAGAAUACAAAUGAAUAGUGUCAAAAUUGAAGGCCCACUAUUCAUGUUGAAUUUGUUUUUUUUCGCUCCUACCAAACGCAAUUGAGUUUGAACUUGAAAUUUUACACAUACAUAAAACAUCAUUUCUCUAACAUAUGAACUUUUUUUAGAAUUUUUUGAACUUUUUUCGAUGAAGUUUUCAUAGUUUGCACGGUAGAUGUGGUUUUCAUCGGAUACUUUUCCUAAUUACUUUGGCUCACGAUCCAUAUUAAGUGCUAGCUUUAGUACAACUUUCUGCUAAGUUAAUAGAAAAUUUAAGAUGCUUAUUAUGGAUCGGAGGAAGUAUUACUAUAUUAUUUAGAAAAAACACCAAGUCAGUAAUAGAAAGAGAAGAUAGGUGUUUGUGAGACGGUGUGCACAUGCAUGUAUACAUGUUCUGCCCCAUCUUAUAUAGCUUCAUCGCCCUUUGUUUUCGCGUGUGUUGCCAUACAAAGACAGAAAAUAUCCACGCAAAUUUUUGAUUGGGGGAUUGCAAUAUUGAUCGGUAAGAACAUCCAAUCUAGUGGCCGUGCUGUUAUAUACGAAUGGUGCCUAAAUAAAGUGUAAGGGCAUGCGUCAUAACUGGCCCGUACAAACAUAUAAACAGCCUAGUAAAUCAAUGGCCCAGUUAUAGCACCUACAAUUACGUAAAUCAAUAAGUUAUGUAUUGGAUUUAGGUGGGACUUAAACCAAUUCGUAGCCCAAUAAAGAUAUCGGUCUCAUUAAAUCUUAACCGUUAAAUACCAGAUCCAAUGGAUAGAAUAACUGUGAUGAUGUUGAUCAACGUGAAGUCUCCCUUCAGUACACCUCAUAUUGGUUUUAGUAUAUAAUAGAGAGAUGUGAGGUAACAUAUUUGUUGAAAGUUUACUUUUAGUCCCAUUCAUUGUAUUGUAUAUAAUUGAUAGAUAAUUUUUUAGCUCACGUGGAUAGAUACUAAGUUGAAAACCGAAUUGCUGAUUUUCUAAUUUAUGAUGCCGGUUUUAUAUUACAACAAAGUUACAUUCCAAUGAAGUUGUUAUUUUUCUCUCUCUCUCUCAAUUCACUUAUUAUCUUCAUUCGUAUUACUUGUUACGGUUUUGUCUAGAUACGUAUAUAUCUACAUAAUGAAACACGUCUAGAUACAAGUAUGUCUAGAUAAAGCUGCGACAGUAAUAUGGCCGGAUGGAGUAGUUACUUUUAACGCCACAUAGAGUUUGUACGGAAGUAGAUUGUCAAAUUUCUUGUUAUUAUUUAAUUUUAGUUAUAUAUAGAGACACAUGUGUUUGUCUAGAACCAAUCUCACGCCGCUGCACUGCCCGCCGUUCCUUCAAUCGAACGAUCGGGCCGGUCUUUGCUCGCAGUGUUGGAUCUUGGAUCGUUAGAUUAUUACUCCUGCCUGGCCCGUACAAAUAUACAAAAAAGCCUAGUAAAUUAAUGGUCCAAUUAUAUCACCUAUAAUUACGUAAAUCAAUCAGUUAAGUAUUGGAUUUCAGUGGGCCUUAAACCAAUUCGUAGCCCAAUAAAAAUAGCACUCAUUAAAUCUUAACCGUGAAAUAUCAGAUCCCAUGGACUGAAUAAUUGAGGUGAUGUGGAUCAACGUGGAGCCUCCCCUCGGUACCCCUCAUAUUGCUUUUAGUAUAUAAUAGAUAUCUGGAAGGAGGUGUCAUGUCUCCUUGACAGACAACUAGGUGCUGAUUUUGAUUCAAUUGCUCGUUUAUGGAUGGCUAAUAAAAAUCUGUAUGUAAUAACUCUAUAUAUGCUGUUGUUCUUUAGAGCAUCCGGGCUUUUCGUAAUAACAUGAUUUUUAAUAACCAAGUAUGAUUGUCUCUUAAGCAGAUUUCGUGGCUGAUUCUCCAGUCUCUCGGGAAAUGGUCGUUUCUGUUCAAAGAUACUUUGCUGGACAGGGUGGACUCUUUCUGUCAGAUGGUGUCUCGGCUCCUGGGCGCGCCACCGCUACUGGUUGGGAUCUGAAUGAGGGCAUUUCUGGCCCUCUUUCCCCCACUAAUCUGCCUGUAGGUGUUGUCUCCCCGUUCUCGGGUGUGCUGGGACCGAAACUCCUGAUGCCUUCAGUCAGCCCUAGCUCUGUGCUGGAGCUUCCUCCUCCGACGGCGAACCCAUUGCUGGUUUACGCUGAGCACAAGCUUAUGCUGAAACACCAAGCUUGUGAGCUCGCCGUGCCGCCCCUUAGGACUGCUAUAUCUUCUUGGUGAGGCUGUUUUUCUUCUUGUUUUGGCUGGCUAUGUUUAACCACAAACCAGCUUUCAUUUUGUGUGUUACAGCAUUUGCACGAACCUGGUUUCUUGUUAUAAGGAGCCGGGAGUCCUUGGGCCUCCUGUUGAUUAAAAAUCGCCUCCGGGGAUUAUUGCUCUCGUGAAAGCCAUGCGUUCUGGUUAUCUACAUUCUCCCGGGCAACUGUUUUCAUUCUUGGGAUUAAAGAAGUUCUAAUACUGUUCUCUCUUGUGGACUAAACUAACCAAACGGUGGCACUAGCGAGCUAGGCGACGCACGUCUUGGUUUUGUGGCAGAUCGGCUCGCACAUGUACGCAAAUCAAUGUGAGGAGCCUAAUAAUGUGGAUGGACACCAAAAAACCGGGGAGCGAAAGCUCGAGUUCGGAUUUCCAUAUGCUAAAUCAUGCACACGCCAAUCCAAUCGCUCGAUCGAUGACGCCGCAAGUGGAGCCCGAACCCGCUCGGAUGCUUCCCGGUUACCGCCUCCCUUUGUCCGGUUGCUGCAGUAAGGAAUUCAUCGGUUUCAGAGGAGUGGUCUCCUUUUCCCUGCCAUGCCAUGGUGUUGCUCGUGCUCUCGUACACCUCGCACCGCUGGCUACAACCCGGCCGGCCUCCUCGGUAUUUGAGCACGUCCCGAUUCAACGGAGGUCAAAAAAAUGAAAAGAUAAGAAAAAUAAACUGAAAAUCGGACAUUUAUCCCCUCACGCCCUUUUUAAGACCACCUCGAGAUCGACCUCAUCACUCCCGCACUCAACACUCUCUGGCCAGCCAGCCAGCUCCAAGGCUCUGCGAGGCAGUAGUAGCAACCAGCCAGCCAGCCAGCCCAGAAAGGCCACAACAAUGGCGAAGACAGCCUCGUUCUUCCUCCCUCUCAUAGCGCUCCUGCUCGUGUCUCCGGCGCUCUGCUCGCCGCCGCCCAGCAAGCGUUGCCCCGCGGGCGACCUGCAGGCGCUGCUGCGCGUGAAGCAGGCGCUGGGCAACCCGGCGACUCUCAAGACGUGGUCCGCCGCGUCGCCCGACUGCUGCAGCACGUGGGACCACGUCCGGUGCGACGAGUCCGGGCGCGUGAACAACGUCUUCAUCGACGGCGCGGACGACAUCCACGGCCAGAUCCCGUCGGCCGUGGCGGGGCUGACCGCUCUCAUGUCGCUCUCCCUCUUCCGUCUCCCGGGCCUCCAGGGCAGCAUCCCGGCCUGCCUCACCACGCUCUCCAACCUCCAGUUCCUCACCAUCUCCCACACCAACGUCUCCGGCCCGAUCCCGGACUCGCUCGCCCGCCUCCACAGCCUCGACUCCGUGGACCUCUCCAACAACAGGCUCACGGGCUCCAUCCCAAACUCCUUCGCCGACCUCCCGAACCUCCGCUCCCUCGACCUCCGCCGGAACCUCCUCACCGGCCCCAUCCCUGCCAGCCUCGUCCAGGGCCAGUUCAGGUCACUCAUCCUCUCCUACAACCAGCUGACCGGCCCGAUCCCGCGUGACGACGCGCAGGACGAGAUCAACACCGUGG